rnacentral:snRNA from 1 species
CCGUCCAAGGCUAAAUACG